CAGCUCCUGAACGAAACAGGAAAAACCCAUCCAUCUAUAGUGUGUUUAGACAUGGUUUCUAUGGAGAAGAAACAGUCUGGUUGCUUGGAAGGUACCCGGAAAUGAAAUGAAAUGUCACCCAAUGCAGUAGACACACCUCACUGCUGUCGUCUGCCC
rnacentral:lncRNA from 1 species